rnacentral:rRNA from 1 species
UAGGGAAUAUUGCACAAUGGGCGAAAGCCUGAUGCAGCAACGCCGCGUGCGCGAAGAAGGUCUUCGGAUCGUAAAGCGCUUUUUGGGGAGAUGAGGAAGGACAGUAUCCCCAGAAUAAGGCUCGGCUAACUACGUGCCAGCAGCCGCGGUAAAACGUAGGAGCCAAGCGUUAUCCGAAUUCACUGGGCGUAAAGCGCGUGCAGGCGGUCUGGUAAGUUGGAUGUGAAAUCUCCUGGCUCAACUGGGAGGGGCCGUUCAAUACUGUCAGACUAGAGGGCGACAGAGGGAGGUAGAAUUCCCGGUGUAGUGGUGAAAUGCGUAGAUAUCGGGAGGAAUACCAGAGGCGAAGGCGACCUUCUGGGUCGUACCUGACGCUCAGACGCGAAAGCUAGGGGAGCAAACG